rnacentral:lncRNA from 1 species
GAUUUUAGAUGGUGCAGAACAAAACGGCAGAACCUCCAACAACUUUAGCCCUGGUGACCAUGGAGAGCAGGGCCCCUCACAAUCCACAUAGGACACAAGGCAUAAGCAAAACCACUGAGAGACUGCCGUGCAGGAUUUGGAGCGUGGAGGUGAAGCAUUAGUCAUUCUGUGGCCCAUAUACAUUGCUGGUGAUCGGCUGACUCCCUGCUUGGUAUGAGGUAGUGGCUUGGUCUGUAAUUGCUCUAUCUUCCCUUCGAGCCUCCUUCAGUUCCUCUGAUUCCUGGGCCAUAUGUGUGUUUCACUCUGUGACAAUGGGCUCCAGCCUCUGCAUGACACC